rfam:Clostridium sp. N3C genome assembly, contig: N3C_contig60
UCUGGUGAUAAUGGCGUGAGUGUUACACCCGUUCCCAUCCCGAACACGAAGGUUAAGACUUACAGCGCCGAUGGUACUGCUUGGGAGACCGAGUGGAAGAGUAGGACGUUGCCAGGU